rnacentral:rRNA from 1 species
ACAAGCAGCGGAGCGUGUGGUUUAAUUCGAUGAUACACGAAGAACCUUACCAGGGUUUGACAUGCUGGCGUAGGGAUCCGAAAGGUGACGACCCCUCGGGGAGCCAGCACAGGUGCUGCAUGGCUGUCGUCAGCUCGUGUCGUGAGAUGUUCGGUUAAGUCCGCUAACGAGCGCAACCCUUGCUGUGUGUUACAUGUGUCACACGGGACUGCCGGUCUUAAACCGGAGGAAGGUGGGGAUGACGUCAAGUCAGCAUGGCCUUUAUGUCCUGGGCUACACACACGCUACAAUGGUCUGUACAAUGGGUAGCCAAGCCGCGAGGCGGAGCCAAUCCUGAAAGCAGGCCUCAGUUCAGAUUGCAGUCUGCAACUCGACUGCAUGAAGCCGGAGUUGCUAGUAACCGCAGGUCAGCAAUACUGCGGUGAAUACGUUCCCGGGUCUU